rnacentral:rRNA from 1 species
GAUGAACGCUGGCGGCGUGCUUAACACAUGCAAGUCGAACGGAAAGGCUCCUGCUUGCAGGGGUACUCGAGUGGCGAACGGGUGAGUAACACGUGGGUGAUCUGCCCUGCACUUCGGGAUAAGCCUGGGAAACUGGGUCUAAUACCGGAUAGGACCACAUUUUGGAUGGUGUGGUGGAAAGUUUUUCGGUGUGGGAUGAGCUCGCGGCCUAUCAGCUUGUUGGUGGGGUAAUGGCCUACCAAGGCGUCGACGGGUAGCCGGCCUGAGCGGGUGUACGGCCACAUUGGGACUGAGAUACGGCCCAGACUCCUACGGGAGGCAGCAGUGGGGAAUAUUGCACAAUGGGCGCAAGCCUGAUGCAGCGACGCCGCGUGGGGGAUGACGGCCUUCGGGUUGUAAACUCCUUUCGCUAGGGACGAAGCGUUUUUGUGACGGUACCUGGAGAAGAAGCACCGGCUAACUACGUG